rnacentral:rRNA from 1 species
UAAUAAGAUUAAGCCAUGCAUGUCUCAGUACUUGCUUUACAAGGCGAAACCGCGAAUGGCUCAUUAAAUCAGUUAUGGUUCACUAGAUCGUACAGUUUACACGGAUAACUGUGGUAAUUCUAGAGCUAAUACGUGCAACCAGCUCGCUUCCUUGUGGAGCGAGCGCAGUUAUUAGAACAAGACCAAUCCGGCCUUCGGGUCGGUACAAUUGGUGACUCUGAAUAACCGAAGCGGAGCGCAUGGUCUCGUACCGGCGCCAGAUCUUUCAAGUGUCUGACUUAUCAGCUUGUUGUUAGGUUAUGUUCCUAACAAGGCUUUUACGGGUAACGGGGUAUCAGGGUCCGAUACCGGAGAGGGAGCCUGAGAAACGGCUACCACAUCCAAGA